rnacentral:tRNA from 1 species
GGAGAGGUGGCCGAGUGGUUGAAGGCGGCUGUCUUGAAAACAGUUGACCGAAAGGUCCGGGGGUUCGAAUCCCUCCCUCUCCGCCG